UCAGAGUAUUAAUUUAUUACUAAAUAACACUACUGAUCAGUAGUUUGGUUGUUGACAAAGAACACUUUUACAAAAAAAAUACAUGAAGCACUUUUUCUGCUUAUUCCCAGUCUCAAUUUGCCUCUUCAUCAGUGAGUCAAAAUUAUUCCAUUGAAGUGUUGGGCAUCACAGGAUGCUGAAGUGGCACAUGCAGUUUUUAUGAAAUAUUUCUUAAAUAUGUUUGAGAAGGGAUACCACAACAUUGUCUGAUGUUGUAAACAGUUAUGUCCUCCCCUGUUGCUUCCAGCUCCUUCAGCUGGCAGGCAGAAGCACUAACCAGCAUGAAGCAGUUCACAGUCUACUCACACUCAGGUUACCACUACCACCACAUUUAUUUAUACCUGAUGAUUUGUGCUGCCUCAUGCUGCUACACCAGAGGAAUAAGGAACCCAAUAGCUUGUGGUUUCAAGGAUGUAUAUAGUAGUAGGGUUCAAGUUUGCCAAACUAAGUGGACAUUCCCACCUAGAACAAGCAUUUGCUGGUCUGGCACCCAGACCAUAAUCAAUCCAUGGCACCAUAGACAGGAUUCAGUCACUUAGACCAUAAUUCAGAGAUGCCUGAAGAUGACACCUCUGUAUCACUCCCACAUGUUCUGUACAAGCAGCUCUGACAACUGCAGCAACUAGUUCAUCACAGAUGCAUAAAUAUUUCCUGCAUAGGCCACAGGCAAAGGUAUGAAGAUCAGUUAAUUCCUCCAAGACAACAGCACAACAAUUUGAUGGCUGGAGAAGGUGCAUUCAUUGCCUAAAUUCAACACUAAAAGUACUGAAAGUCAAAGAGAAUGAAAACCCCUCUGCUUGUCCAAUAGUACACUAUACAGAGGGAACAACAAUAAAUCAGAAGGGCAUCCUGUGAAGGUGCAGUUGAGCGUAAGAGACAAGAAGCACCAGUAUUCACUGAGAAUGAAAAUUCAUACAUGAGAAUCAAGAACAGUUCUUCCUGAGAAGUUCUUCAUGGCUUUUUACUUUUAAGUCUGAGACACAGAAUGCAUAGGAAAACUUCAAGGAUGAAAAAAAAUGGGUACAUAGCAUGAAAAUAAGCAACAGUGGACAUGGAUAUCCUUACCUCUGCAUAGCAAUGAUUUUUCUACUGAGUGCCUAGAAUGCCCUCAGCAAAUGCAAUUCAAGAAUCCAACCUUUUUAUAACGGAAAUAUACAGAUAAGUUAUAUACUUCAAUGGAGGCUCCAGUAUAAUCACAGCAGGCAGAUCAGGGAAUGCAUGGACCAAUGGAAGUCCACCAGUGAUAAAAAUGAUACAAGAAGUAGGUUUUUGUUUCUGAAGUUGAGCAUUUGGCAUGAAAGGCAGAUAUGCUUGGUGAAGUCACUAGUUCAGGUCCAGUCUCAUUCACAGAACUUAAGCUUGCAACUAAAAUUUGGAAAUUGUAAUUGUAUGCUUUACUUUUACUCCUUCUGAUCAAAAAAACAUACUAAGAUCCACAGCUAGACUUACAAGAAUGCCUUUCUUUAAAAGUUCUUGUUUACAUAUGACUAAAGGCAUGUAAAGUCUCUUUAUCCAGUUAAUAGAAAUUCAACUUGAUUGUUAAUACAGCUUUUGACUUGUUGAUUUAUGAAACAGGAAGGACUUCAAACUCUGCAGUCCAGUCCAUUUUAAGACUCCAUACGUACAAUAAGACACCUAUAAAAAUAUUCUUGAUCAUUAAAGAUAUCAUUGUUACAUCAUUAUUUGGGAUAUGGCAUCCAGAUUUCUCAAUUAGGUUUACUAAUCACCAUAAAUCUCCUAAUAUUACAGUUAGAUGUUUUUACUUCUGCAAUACAUGGUACAGUAAACAGACUGAGAAGUAUCUUACCCUCAGAUCCCUUAAAUAGCCUGAGGCACAUUCAGAACACUCUUUAUAUUAAUGAAAAGGAAGUCUGCUUUAUAGUUAAGUCACCAGAUUGGUACUUGAGAGAUCUGAAUUCACUCCUUUCCCAUACAUGUUUUGUGUUGUGGCUGGCAUGCUUCCAAAUAGCUUCAGGUUCAUCACUUAGUAGGUGAAACUAAUGACAGGAGCAAGACUGAGGAGUUCCUAGAUAAGGACAGAAAGUGCCAAAAUAACCCAGCCACAAAAAGCACAAGCAACCUCACGCAGUACUGUCUUCUAUAUCAAGGAAGAUGAAAAGUAACUUCUCUAAAUUAACAUCUUAUCUAGUCUUAGACAAGAAGAGCUAAGGAUUAACCCAAGGAAGCUACACUCUACUACCCCCCUCUGAAGAUGUGUUUUAAACUAGGCAGUUAAUUCCACUUUUCUGCCAAACUAUAAAUGCCAUCACAUCAAGGCAGUCAUGAAGCCCCAAGAACAUGGGCAAGUUAAUGCUAGUGCACUGUACUCUCAUAUCACAACUUACUCUUUAUGUCUAUCCAUGCUAUCUAGGCUAGUCUGUGAUAAUUGCAACCUGCACAGCUUAUUUUAUGGAAGCUGAGGUCACUGGUCACAAGCUGAAGACUUUUGGGAAAAAAACUCAACAGGUAAGGUUUUAACAACAGCAAUUGUUUCCCUGAAAAACACUGCUCUGGGUCACAAGAUCAUCAACAUGUGCAACUGAGACUCAGUCCAUUGCUGAUGAGGUCUGCAGACUGAAUAAAACUAACAGAUUGGAACUUGUUGAAACCUUUCAAAGCAUACUUGAAUGCCUAUAAUAUGACAGUCCAAGGUGAUGUAAUAGCAUUGGGAAGUUCUGAAGCAUCUUUAUAGCUUGCAACCUCUCACUAUGCCAGGUGUAUAGGAAUACUCCAUAAAGAGCCUUCAAAAAUGACAUUUUCUACAAAUUUUUAUGUACAUAUAAAAACACAUGUACACUUUUUUAAACAGCCUGGAAGAUGAAAGACUUUAAAAUCUUAGCAGAUGUGUUCUUGAAACAAAAUUGUAUUUUCUAGUCAGGAAAUUCUAGUCCCCUUGUCCAUGCUGAAUGAUAUGGCACCUAAAUAGCCCAUAAUUUAUACAGGACUGCUCCCAGUAUCCAGCCUGCUCAGAAGAGCCAGAUUAAGACUUAGUGUAGAAGCUCUGCAUGCAAAGCCUUAUGAAAAUUUGAACCAAACUCUUGAGUUUGCACAAACUCUUUGUAUUUCACUGAAGCUAGUGAUUACAUAACCAGUUUAUGUCAAGUAAAAGCUUGGUCCAAAGAACCAUGUUUUCCUCUCAGAAUGAGAAAUUAAUCUCAAUUUAGUAGGCCUAGCCUAGGCCAUUCUAGAAAUAUUCUCCAAGAACAAUCAUGUACGUAAGCCAUGAUUUGGCCCUUUCAAAUUCCUCCUGAUAAAUAUAAACAAAAGCAUUACAAUGUGUGAACCAGUUACCAAAUAGUGACUCCGUAUUUCUUAUCUAGUUUUCCCCAAAUUUUCACAAUCAAACAAGCUCAGACAAUCCCAUAUUUAUUUUUUGCAUGAUUAAUGCAAUAAGCUUCAAUAAGCUUUGAUAAGAAAUACAUCAGGAGGUUAUUAUUCAAAUGCAGCAAGUGCCACAGAACACGUGAAAAUGCACAUAACAUGCACCAAACUAUGUUGUACAGAGCUUGCAUUUCUACACCAUUGUAUAGGAAAUUCUGUACAAUCAUUUACUGCUUAAAGCUACCCCAUGCAUAGAGAACACAUCUACAUAUUGCAAAUGCUGCUGCCGCUUCAUAGAAUAUCCCAAGGCAGAAGGAACUCACAAGACUAGUCAUAGUGCUUCAUAUACCCUUCUGGCAGCUUCAAACAAUUGAAACCACUAGCUUCUAGACUCUGGCUGCCAGCAUAAUCAUUGUAGAUGUAGAAUGGUGUGAUAGCAACUUUGAAUUCCUUCAGCCUUGUGCUUCAGACUUCUUCAAAAACUUGGUUAACAAGACCACAUCUUACGUGUAUAUGCCUCUAACACUCAGUAUUUCAGGCUUCCUUUGAUGCGUUCCUAGGGCCACUGCCAUAUCAUUCAUCUCACACAUUAGCUUCAGCCAUUUCAUUCAAUCAGUUGUCAAAUGCUUACAACACAUGAGAUCCCUUCUCUACAAGGAAGAAAAACUUAAGAUUAACAGAAAAGACCCCCUGGGUCAGUCUCAGAAAAAAAAGAUACAUAGAAGGUUUGGCUUUUCAAGUUUUCCUCUAUAGCCAAUAUGUUCUUCAAUAGCUCUCCCAGUAUCAGCAAGCCUGCUCAUUUUAGUGGAAUUACAUUUGAUAGCAUAUUUAGUUCACAGGACCAGCACAGCUACAUUAAACAGAGGCUGCUAAUAAAACAUUAUAUCUCUCUCUCCCCCCAGCACUCCAUUUGCCAUGAUGUAAAAGGCA
ensembl:lncRNA